GUGAACUCGUGUUCAUUCAGCAGUCAGUAAAGCACGAAGAAGGACGCAAAGCGGAAGCAGCGAGGAAGGGCACAAAGCGGGGAAGAAAGCUAACCAAUGCAAAUCAUGUGACGUUUGUUGAGAGUGCAUGUUCAUUCAGCAGACAGUUGGUAAAGGACAAAAAAGCAGACACAAAGCAAGGAAGGAAGAGAGCAGAGACUUUCAUUAUUUCCAUGCAUGUAAAUUGAAAUGAUGAUGGUCCUUGUGUAGAGAUCCAGACACUUUGUUCCCAAGGUGCUGUGAAAUGGUGUGAAGUGUCGUGCAUGUUUUCUGCCUUCACUCUACUAGACCACUAAUGCAUGGAUCUUCAGUAUCUUCAGUUAGAACUGUGAUGACACUGAGGAAAUAUUCUACAAUCUUCACCAUGGUUGCGGUUGAAUUGUAAUUCCCAAGUAGCAAUUGCUGUACAGUGUAAAGCCAGCAUGUAUGUUUUUCUAAGAAAGGGACAAGGUGUGUUAGAAAGGGACAAGGUGUGUCAAGGUGGAAGCUGUGCAUCUGGAAAGGAUGGGAGUAGUUGUAUUCCAAUGGCUGUAAGCAUAAAAUCACCUGGCCUUGUGUGGAAGACAUCUAUGAAUCGAUCAACCAGAUGUAUACCUCUAACUUAAACUCCUGAAAAUCCCCAUGGUUGUGGGUGGUGCAGACAGAAUGUGAGCCACAAUGUACAUCUGUAAAAGCCCAGACAUUCUGUAUGUAGGAGUAUCUUCAUUCUUCAAGUCUGUACAAGAGAUCUAUGUGCAGAUGAUAGCCAAGAUGAUACAAUGAUUCAGCACAUUAUAUCAAUCCAGCUGAAGGACAACGUAUCCAUUGAUGCAGUUGCAUCUUAGCUAAGAAGUUAACUUGGAUCUGCUUCACAGGGAGUCACUGAUUAUCAACUAAGUAGUAGGAUACAGUUUUCUGAUCAGAUGAAAUCGCUUUAUCUUAUCUGGCUGAAUUUAAAGAGCUGAGGCUACCAUCAGGAAAAUCUACCAUGUAAUAACGCUAAUCCAGAACAUUGCUACUGAGUCUACCACACAGUAAUGCUGACAAGGAAAUAACUAUUGAGUCUACUACACAGUAACACAAACCCAGAGGAUAACUACUAUGUCUUCUAUACAGUAACAUUCAAGUAAUGGUCAAAGGUGGUAGUGAAAACUCACUGAAUGUGACAUCAAAGUUUAGAUGACUGUGAGAGAAAGAUAGUUAUACUUACUAGUAAAAAUCUAUAAGAUUAGAUAUUAAAAUAAUGUUUAAAAAUGACAGUAGGUACACUAAAAUGUGAAUAAUAUGUGUUUUGAUUGAUAAUGUUAAAUAAUAAAGUGUAACUGAUUG